UACAGAGGUCUCAAGCGUUGUUCGGAUUCACUGGGCGUAAAGGGCUCGUAGGCGGCCAACUAAGUCGGAUGUGAAAUCCCCAGGCUCAACUUGGGAACUGCAUCCGAUACUGGAUGGCUUGAAUCCGGGAGAGGGAUGCAGAAUUCCAGGUGUAGCGGUGAAAUGCGUAGAUAUCUGGAGGAAUACCGGUGGCGAAGGCGGCAUCCUGGACCGGCAUUGACGCUGAUGAGCGAAAGCUAGGGGAGCAAACGGG
rnacentral:rRNA from 1 species